GAAACCGGAGCUAAUACCGGAUGAUAUUUUGAACCGCAUGGUUCAAAAGUGAAAGACGGUCUUGCUGUCACUUAUAGAUGGAUCCGCGCUGCAUUAGCUAGUUGGUAAGGUAACGGCUUACCAAGGCAACGAUGCAUAGCCGACCUGAGAGGGUGAUCGGCCACACUGGAACUGAGACACGGUCCAG
rnacentral:rRNA from 1 species